GUCCAUGACAUUUUUGCAGCUGCUCAUGUCCAUCUCUAUCUCACUGUAUUUACAACUUUCUAUUUGGUUGGGCAUAGCUGCAGCAACACAUUUCUCCAUGGCUUCAAGCUUACUGUUUAGAAUGGAAGUUAUGGUUUUAUAAUAUUUCACUGUUAUGGUGUUCCUUUUUUUUGCACAGGUGUGAACUAAUAUCUCAGUAAUUCUGCACAGGUAAAUUGGCACUAUAGUUUUUAAGUUCUUGAUAGCUCAGAUCCACGGAAGUGAUUGAUGGAUUAUUGGAAUUUCAUUUGGAAGAGAUGACAAGGUCAGAAUGAGCUUAGAUGUACACUGGUGUAGCAAGAGGAUCAAAGUGCUCAUGGUGGUCGCUAUUUUUGAAAGAUUUUGUUAUGCAAGCAAAUCAUAUGAGUUGUAUUGUGCAAGCUACUCUCUUAGUUUUGUAGCUACUUGCGUGUAGCUUGCUUAUUGCAUUUGUAUUUCUUAUGAAAAAUUAUACAAGUACAAAUGUUGAUGGUUUCAAUGAAAAGAUGACCAAAGUUUUUGUCAA